rnacentral:rRNA from 1 species
UACGAGGGGAGCAAGCGUUGUUCGGAUUUACUGGGCGUAAAGGGCGCGUAGACGGCGCGACGAGUCACUUGUAAAAUCUCCGGGCUUAACUCGGAACGGUCAAGUGAUACUGUCGGACUAGAGUACAGAAGGGGCAACUGGAAUUCUCGGUGUAGCGGUGAAAUGCGUAGAUAUCGAGAGGAACACCUGCGGCGAAGGCGGGUUGCUGGGCUGAUACUGACGCUGAGGCGCGAAAGCCAGGGGAGCGAACGGG